GGCAACUUGGCGCAGUUGGCUAGCGCAUCUGUCUAACACGUGUGCCGCAGUGGGCGUCACGUGAUCACAGAAGGCCGUCAGUUCGAGCCUGACAGUUGUCA